UUUUUUUUUUUUGCUUGACGAAGAGUAGCCCUGAGAUAACAUCUGUGCCAGUCUUCCUCUAUUUUAGAUGUGGGUUGCCACCACAGCAUCUCAUAUAAAAUAGAGGAAGAUGGGCACAGACAUUAGCUCAAGGCCAAUCUUCCUCAGCCAAAAGAAGAGGAUUGGCAAGGGAUGUUAGCUCAGGGCUAAUCUUCCUCAAAAAAAAAGAGUGUUUGUCAUAUCAAAUUAAUUUGAAUGUUAUUAGUGAUGAGGAUUUUAGGCUGGUUACUUUUAAAACUACAGAUGAGGAGCAGGCUCCGAGGACUGGAAUUUUGCUUGCCCUUCUGAGAGACAUUUGCGUUUGUGAAGGAAGGGGGGGUGACCUUGUAGGGACCCGAAAUUGGCCACCCCAGGAUAUGUCUCUUUGGCAUCAGGAUUGUUUUGGGCUGAUUGCUUUCGAUAAACUGGGACAGGGAAGGAGGCUCUGGGGAAUGGAACUUGCCCUUGUUGGGACACAUUUACAUUUGUAAGGUAAAUCUCUAUCUGUAAAAGGUGCCUCCCUCUCUGUACCAGGAAGAAGAGGAGAGAUGACCUUGUCCCUAGAAGCUCUUAAUGGGGAAGGCAAGAACUUAAGUUGGUUGCUGUCUGGCAAUCUCAUGUAACUGGUUUAGGGUGGUGGCGUCUAACCUUUCUAACCUUUACUUAAUCUGAUUUGAUUCUUGUCUAAAAGUCAUGGGAUCACCCAAUGACCAGACCCCACCUGCACUGAUACCAUUUUAACUUUUUUUUUCAUGUUCUUUCCUUUGUCUUGUAAAGAGAUGAAUCAUAUACCUAUGCCUUAAAUUUGGCUCUAACCCUCAACUGGGGGCAGCAGGAGCUCUGACUGCCCGUGGGUCCUGUCCCCACACACCAGCUCUGCUUGCCCAUGGGUCCUGUCCCCAUGCCAGCGGGGGCAGCAGCAGCGGCUCUGCCUGCCCAUGGGCUCUGUCCCCAUGCCAGCGGGGGCAGCAGAAGCGGCGGCAGCAGAAGUUCUGACUGCCCAUGGGUCCUGUCCCCAUGCUAUUCUAUACUAUUCUCUAAAUAAAAGAGCACUACUGCCAGAUCUUGAGAGUCUAAGAAAUCUUUCUUUCGACUCCUCGGCUCACAGACCCCGCAUCAAUUCGUUUUGGAGUUUCCUUUGACAAAUUUGAGUAUUUUGGUUAACAAUUUUAGUAAAAAUAAUUUUAAACUUAACCAGAAUAUGGAAUAUGAUUAUUUCUUGCAUCUUAAAGAACUCACAUAGAACCCCCCAAAUUUGUCUAGAAUUUUUAAAAGCUUUUUAUUAAGGUAUGACAUGCUAUAAAUUUGCUUUGAUUUUAAAGCAGUAAAAGGGCUACAAUCAUAAGUAGUUUAUUCAAAAUUUUAAGAUAUAUUUUAGCAUUAUUACAAUAAAAGUAAUUCAAGCCAAAAGUAGAGGUUUUCAAGAAGAUUAUUCUUGAAAAAUAGUCUAUAUCUUAUUCAAUUUUGAGAAUUUGAGAAUUUUGAGAAAUUGAAUUGUUAUAUUGCCAUAUUGAAGCAUGUGUCAAACUUAAUGUUUGUAUGCUUAUUCUCCUAACAAACUGUUCAUAACUUCAAGAUUUUGUUAUAAAACCACCAACUCUGUGAAUCUUUUCCUGACCUCCACACCACCACAGUUAACAAAGUAGAGUUAAUCACUUUCUCUAUAGAUGGACUUUACAGCCCUUAUCACAUUCCACUGCCCUUUUAUCACCUUCUGAUCUUCCUUCCUAGAAAGUGAGGUCCUUCAGGACACAGUCUGUAAUUUAUGCAUCAGUGAAACUAUGGUUCCUGCCUUGGUCUUUGGCACAUAGAAAGCAUUCAAUAAAUAUCUAGUCAACAAAUGGACUAAUUAAUUAUUUAAUUAAUUAGUGGAAAGGCAGAGGCAAUUACUCUCAUCAGUCCUAAUGAUGCAGGGUCGGUGAGCCGAGGAGUCGAAAGAAAGAUUUCUUAGACUCUCAAGAUCUGGCAGUAGUGCUCUUUUAUUUAGAAAAUAGUGUGGAAUAGCAUGGGGACAGGACCCAUGGGCAGUCAGAGCUUCUGCUGCCGCCGCUUCUGAGUCUAAGAAAUCUUUCUUUCGACUCCUCGGCUCACCGACCCCGCAUCAUCAAAGAGCUGUGCUGAAGAAAGAACAAGUUUAAGAAUGUCACUGAGCUUUGAAUAGAGUGGCUAUUGAUGAGACAUCUGCUUAGGGACUCUACAAAAAGCAAUGGAAGUGACAUGCCCCCCUUCAUGGGUUGUCUGUAAGUCCCAAUACCAUGUCUGAAACUUUGAUCAGCUGGAAAUAAAAGCGUAUUCCUACCCAAUUUUUCCUUCUCAUCCUUGGAAUCCAUGAGCACAGACUCUUGUGCUUUGGUAACAAAGAACCACCAAAUCCCAGCAGCCUACAGAACAAAGGUGUCUUUCUUUCUCACGUGAAUGUCCACCAGCUAGUGGUUUUGCUCUGCACC
ensembl:lncRNA